AUUGAACGCUGGCGGCAUGCCUUACACAUGCAAGUCGAACGGCAGCACGGGAGCAAUCCUGGUGGCGAGCGGCGAACGGGUGAGUAAUACAUCGGAACGUGCCCAGUAGUGGGGGAUAGCCCGGCGAAAGCCGGAUUAAUACCGCAUACGACCUAUGGGUGAAAGCGGGGGAUCGCAAGACCUCGCGCUAUUGGAGCGGCCGAUGUCGGAUUAGCUAGUUGGUGGGGUAAAGGCUUACCAAGGCUACGAUCCGUAGCUGGUCUGAGAGGACGACAGGCCACAGUGGGACUGGGAAACGGCCCAGCCUCCUACGGGAGGCAGCAGUGGGGAAUUUUGGACAAUGGGCGAAAGCCUGAUCCAGCCAUGCCGCGUGCGGGAAGAAGGCCUUCGGGUUGUAAACCGCUUUUGUCAGGGAAGAAACGGUCUGGGUUAAUACCUCGGACUAAUGACGGUACCUGAAGAAUAAGCACCGGCUAACUACGUGCCAGCAGCCGCAGUAAUAC
rnacentral:rRNA from 1 species